rnacentral:rRNA from 1 species
CGCGGUAUCGAAGGUGCUAGCGUUGUUCGGAAUUACUGGGCGUAAAGGGCGCGUAGGCGGCUUGGCAAGUUGGGUGUGAAAGCCCAGGGCUCAACCCUGGAAUUGCACUCAAGACUGCCUUGCUUGAAUUCGGUAGAGGUUGGUGGAAUCCCCAGUGUAGAGGUGAAAUUCGUAGAGAUUGGGAAGAACACCCGUGGCGAAGGCGGCCAACUGGACCGACAUUGACGCUGAGGCGCGAAAGCGUGGGGAUCAAACAGGAUUAGAUACCCUGGUAGUCCACGCCGUAAACGAUGCAUGCUAGACGUUGGAGGGCUCAGCCCUCUUGUGUCGCAGCUAACGCACUAAGCAUGCCGCCUGGGGAGUACGGCCGCAAGGUUGAAACUCAAAUGAAUUGACGGGGGCCCGCACAAG